GAUCAUGGCUCAGGAUGAACGCUGGCGGCGUGCUUAACACAUGCAAGUCGAACGGGAAUUACUUUAUUGAAACUUCGGUCGAUUUAAUUUAAUUCUAGUGGCGGACGGGUGAGUAACGCGUGGGUAACCUGCCUUAUACAGGGGGAUAACAGUCAGAAAUGGCUGCUAAUACCGCAUAAGCGCACAGAGCUGCAUGGCUCGGUGUGAAAAACUUCGGUGGUAUAAGAUGGACCCGCGUUGGAUUAG
rnacentral:rRNA from 1 species